rnacentral:lncRNA from 1 species
AUUACAUCCGUGAGGAAACACCACCAACCUUUUAAACCUCAUGCCCUCCUGUGCCUGGAGGUCUCUGGAAUGGUGAAGCUGUGAAAGUCCAGAUCCUAGCUUUGAAGUCUGCAGUGAAGCCGUGCAAACCCAGGGGUGGAGGAGCUGGCUAGUCAGUUUCAGUUACCUGCGCCAAAUGCUCUUCAGGUGUGGAUGAGCCUCCCUUUGAGGAAUCAUCAGAAGGACAAUUAGUAGCCUAUCGCCAAGUCUCAGUGCUUACAUCAUUCACCUACGUCAUCUUAUCACGUAGCCGUUUAUCUUCUCCCUUCGUCCGAAGGUGGUGAGUAUAGU